rnacentral:sRNA from 1 species
UGAAUAGAGUUCACUGAACUUGACAGAUG